GCUCUAAAUAAAUUGUGUCCCUGUAUUGCUUCACUCAUUAUGCUAAUCCUGGUUUUGGACCAACCAUGGUAUUUUGAUUUAUAUAUGGGAUUCACAUUUCCACUAAGCCAGACUACACCAGCCUGACACUGUCCAGUUACGUGGACUACAACUCCCAGAAUUUUCAUCAAUGGCCACUUUGGCUGGAGAAUCCUGGAAGUUGAAUGUCACACAUCUGAAGGACACACAGUUUAGGAAGGCUGCACUAAGCCAAACAAGACAUGUGAACCCAUCCUUUGAGUUUUAUUGGAGGACAAUAAAUUGCAAAAGUCCUUUGAUAGGAUCUUUUUGGUGUACUCUGGGUGUGUAUUCUCUGUAUCAAUCUUUGGAGCCUGACUUACAUUUAGGAAAGUCAUGAUUAGCUAUGCAGAUAUGAAUGAUAAACACUUGAAGUGGCUGGAGAUAUGAAGCCCCAGAAACAAACUGGACAAAGUUGGGAAGGCUUUUUUUCCCCCUGAUGCACUGGAUCUUUUUUCUGUUGUUAUUUUACAUGAUUCAUGAAAUGUUUAAGAUAUGAAGGAAAUUAGCCUAAAUUUGAAAAUGCUCACCCAAAUCAAGAAUUAAAUGAACAUGUAAGAGGGUAGAGAUUCUUGCUCAGAACAAGAAAACCUAUUUUCAAAUAAAAAUUAGUAAAAUUAUUUUUUAAAAAAGGAACAGAAGAACUAGAAGCUGCUGAUAGAGAUACUUCAGAUUUAGAAAAUAAAACUGCCUAGACAAUGUUUUAUGUAGCGAAAUAGUGCUUUUAAUAUGUAUAUUAAACUUUUUCUGUUUAAUAUAGAUGAAAGCCAGAAUGUGUACUUUGUUUCUUCUAUUUUUAUAAUUAAUUUUUUGCUUGCCUGCUUCUUCCAAAGUCAGAAAUGAAGGAUUCAGCACCUUUUAGGUCCAGUAGUAAGAACAAUUAAAACCAUUUAAAAAUAAAGGAAAUUGAUGAAACCAUGGACGAGCUUUUAAGAUUCUUGACUGUCUAUGUUGUUAUUCAGAGUAGACACAAAAUCCAGCAUUUUGCCACUAUAGAUAACAUGGACAUAUUUUCUUUGUUAAUGAUAUUUCAGUAAAUGUAUUCAUUUUGCUAGCUUUCUAUGCAAUUCCAGUUGUUGACCAACUCUGAGUGACUUACAAUCCUACUGUAUGUAAUUGUAAUGAUUAAAAUGUUGAAAAAUAUAACUCAAGUUAGUCCUGUGGCAAUACUAGCGGCAAGAGAUUACUCAAACUCUUGCACAACAGGACAGUUUUGGAUUUAAUGUCAUUUCUGUUUAAGGUAUUAAAAUGCCUGCUACUUCACUGCUAAAUAAAAUCUCUAGAACAUGUAGCAUUAAAUAUCAAUAAAACAAAUUUAUGGAAAUGAAAACAAACCUUAGCAAUAAAUUAAACAAAUAAUGUUCUAAUUCAGAUUUUAUGAUAAUGUUAGAUUUCAGCCAUGGUUUGUUGAGAAAUCCAUGGUGUCUAGUUAACAAUUAUUAGUAGAUCAGAAUGAUUCUUCAUAUUAUACUGUCAACACCAAAGAACUCUUUUACAGUUUAGUUAGGCCUAUCAUAUCUGAGCUGUAAAGCUCUGAAUGACCACUAGAUGGCAGCAAAGAGAUUUUUAAAAAACUGGUCAUUUGCAGCCCAAAUGUGGUAGCCCUAGUUUAUAUAUGAAACAUUAGAUAGAACAAUUAUAAAAACUAAUAGGCAAAAAAAUUCAGAUGAAAAGCAACUUCACUGUUCUCCUAAAGAAGAAACUUAAAUCUUGGGCAAUGACCAUGUUCUUAAUCUAGGGCCUAAAUUUAAAAUUGCUUUCAGUAGCUUUUAAGUAGAAAAAAUAGGAUAAAGCUAUUUUAGACAGAAUACAAUAAAAUAAAGCGGCACCAGAUGAAGUUCUCUAGGAAAGAUAUUCCAUACACUGAAAAUCUUCACUAAAAAACCAAAAAACUAUGACGCUGUUGCAAUCUGCCUCUCCUCUGCUGGCAGACGUUAUAUUUGCUCAAAUUUAUGGUAGCAGGCAGCCCUCCAACUACUAAAGUCCCAAGCAGUAAAGGAUUUGAAAAUGCCAAACCACAAGCAGAUUCAUAUCUGUGUACUUACGUUUUCCCUGAAGUAGGUAAAUGCCAUGCAUGGUUUGCAAUUAAAGAAAAAGAAACAUGGUCUCACGUUUUACAAGAGACACAGCGUUAUUGCCCUGAUACAGUUGCUGAUUCUUACAAUUUGAGAAAGUACCCUAAGGUUUAUUCCUAGGGAGGACAGAAAAGUCACCACAAGCAAGAUUCACUCAGGCUGCUAGUCUGCUUGUAUUACUUUCUAUCAACAUAAACCCAUCCUAAACUCCUCACACCAAUGCUGAUAUUCUCCAACAUUUUUCUUCUUCUCUUCCACUAGGAUAUCUUGCCCCACUUGCUUGGAUCAUGUCUCUCACAGCUGCUGCUUUACCUCAUAGAGAAGCCAAUUUCUUUAGUGAAAUUGUAUGUGCUCAUUGCAAAAUAAAGCUCUAUCUUCUUUUCUCAUCUUUCUUAAUCACAGCUGUCACCCUAUUCCAUUCCCAUAGUUGGCAGACUUAGGAAUCAUAAAGCCAUAUAAUUUCUCUCUUAGGAUUUAGUCUUGUUUCCUGGCACUAAUCUAAUUGGUUGAAGCUUUCAAGUAAUGACGAAUCUUUCUCAGAUGGUGUGUAGCUUUACCUGCUUUUGAAGGAAAAAAAGAUGAAAUAGAGUGUCGUCAUAUUGCCGCACCCUAAAUCCUUUGGUAAUCCAUUUUACCUAGUUGUUGAACAAAGAGAGGACCUAUCCCUGUAGGACAUAUAGUGUAGGAACCAAAGGGCCAAACAGAUUAUUGGUACUGAUUGAAACCGACCUGUUCCAGAAAGGAAUCUUGCUCAAAACAUCAAGGAGUAUUGACAAAUUUCCGAGUGCAAGACGGAUUCAGUUCAGCCAGCAGCCUUCUGUAUGUGCAGAACAAAGAACAACACAGUUGCUUUCUCCUAGGCUUGUGCCAGGUUGAGAAGCUGCAAGGAAAAAAGAAGGAAAAGAAUGCCAGAUCUACUGCUUGAUCUUGCUAAGUACUCCAUGGAAUGUUGGUAAGAAAUUAUGUAAACAGAUUUGGGACUCUGCUUGUAUGUCUGUCAGCAGGAGAAUUCUCCAAACAGGACCACGUUUGGUAGAGAGGAGCAGGGGGAGAAGCCAUAAACAAGAACUGUGUUUGAAAAAUAAGCUGGAUUUGGCUGAGAGGAAAAAAAAAAAUCCCCCAAUAUAUCUAUAUGGAAGAGGGCACUGGAAAAGGAUUGAGAGUAGCAGAGAUCAUUGUACCUGUGACUAGAUGGACACAGAAACAGAAUCAUCUUAGGGCAGAAGAAAGAGUGGUUCUAAAAACACCAAGGAAUGACCCUACUAUCGCAAUCUUCCCAGCAGACAAAGGUUGAACAACAGUUAUCAUAGACAGAGUACAGUACAUCCAAAAAGCAAAAGCACUGUUGAAUAUCAAGGAAAGCUAUCAUGUCAUAAAUUUACAAUCUCAUAAACCCAGUACAGAAAUUGGGCAAUCAAGUCAAGAAAACCUUCAAUAAUCUAACCAAAACAGGGCAAAUAACAAAAAAAGAACAAUGGCAUAUGAAAAGCUGUGGACCAAUCUUCCAAGACUUCUAUGGAUGCCUUAAAAUACACAAACCUGACAUACCACUUCACCCAACUGUGUCACUACCAGGGACCCCAGCGUACAAUUUAGCCAAUGAACUCACCAAGAAACUCAAGACACCAAGAAACUCCAAUAAUCCACCUCUACAGCAUUCAUGAAAAUUGAAGAUCUAACAACUGAAGAUGAAAUCAUGCUUUCAUUUGAAUCAUUGUGGUCUUCACUUCCAUUGAUUCAAAACUGGUGAAAGAAUCUAUUAGAGCACUCCAAACCUUAACAGAAUAUACAAAUAUUGAAAUAUCAAGACUUAUUGAACUGAUAGACAUGUGCCUCACCACAUGCUUGCAGUUUGACAGAUGAGUAUAUAAACAAAUUGGGGAACAUCAAUGGGAUCAACCAUCUCCAGAUUCCUAGUAAAGAUAGUGAUACAAUGUUUGGAAGUAGCACUAUUCUUACACACAUAACCCAAAAUAUGGAUCUGUUACAUGGAUGAUACUUUUGUUAUAAUCAAGAAAGAACAAUUAAAGAACACACACAAGACAAUCCAUCAACACCUUUGAUGGAAUCAAAUUCACAAGAGUAGAAGAGAAGAGUAACAAACUAUGCUUCAUGGAUGUUAUCAGCAAAGAAAACAAUGAUAAAUUACCAAUCUAGGUGCAUGAUGAAGAAACACAUGCUAACCAAGUAUUCAACUGCUACAGCAACAAACAGCACACAAAAGAAGCUACAUGAGAACCCUAUUCAGACAAGCAAAACUGCAUUGCACUAACUCAGGACUACAGAAACCAGAAAUAGAUUAUCUAUAUAACAUGUUCCAAUGCAGUGGAGAUCCACAUAACCAACCUAUCAGCCUUACUAGGUAGACCAGUCCAUGAAAUCACCUCCACGGGAUGUCUACAAUUUUUAUUGAGAUUGGCUAUAAUAACAGAAGUCUGAUUUUGCUGUACCUCCUCCUUAUAGUUCAGUGAAUUAGGAAGCUAUCUGAACUGCUUCCAAACAUUAUCUAUAUGAAACUUGUUGCCUUGGGAAUGGAAUCUGUAUCUCCGUCAACAUUGUCUUCCUUACUCUCUAUACAACCGUAGCAUAACCAUCACAACCCACAAAAUGGAUAACUCGUCCAUACAUCAAAACAUUUCAGAAAGCACCAAAUGGGUUAAUACAACCCCUUGGCAUCACUGUAGCCUACAAAGCAACAAAAUCCUUCCAAAGAUCCUAAGCAAACCCAAAGACCCAUUAGCCAAAGGAGGCAGAAAGGACUCCUUUACAACAUACAAUGUAAAGACAGCAGAAAAAAAUAUGUAGGACAAAUAAGUCAAAGAUUGGCAGAACACAUCCAUGAAAAGACACACACAAGGCAGGCAGAAGACAUCAUGGUUCCACAUGCUGGUUCAGAAUGUAGUGGUGCGAGCAGUGAUGGGCAUGCCUCAGUAUGCUCAUGUGACAUUUCUGCUCCGCAAACUGCAUUGGUUGAUUGUCUGCUUCUGGUUGUGAUUCAAGGUGCUGGUUAUAACCUAUAAAGCUCUACAUAGAACCAGUUUAUUUGAGGGACCACCUGGUUUCUGCCCAGCUGGUACACGUUGGCAGAGUUGGUGCACUCUGGGUUUCCUUCUCCCUCCCUCCCUGUUCAUAUGACCCAAGGUAGAAGGUAUAUAGUUUGGCCUUGUCUUCCCAGAAUGCACAGGACCAACAACCACCCAGAUAUAACAUAAGGGAAGAACAGAAACACACACUUAGAGGCAACACACACAUUGUUAUCCCCAGCCCUGACUCAAUUCCCUUUUCAUGUUCUAUCCCUCUUUAAAAACUGCCAAUUUGUGAAUGCCAAAAGCUUAAUGGAAGAGGAUCCUCAAUGAAUCCAAAAUACAAACAUUUUUUGAGAUGGAUGGGCAAAUUUCUAGUUUUCCUCAAUUUUAUUUUCCUAACUUCCUAUUACCAGUUUGCAAGUUCAGCAAUAUCCAUAUUUCCGAUGUACCUUUUAUUUGUUUGUACUUUACCUUAACUUACACAUUUAGUGUACCUCUGUUGAUUUGAAAAGUUCAUUGCAGAAUUUGAAAAGUUUUAAUUUUGUUGCCUGACUCAUUCUAGUUGGCUUAAAUAAAAAUGAAUAAAUGU